rnacentral:lncRNA from 1 species
GGGAGCUGCUCCUCGCCUCCCACCCCUACACCUCUUCCUGCUAGGACAGCAGAGAGGAUCACAGGGAAAGCCAAGGACCAAAUCCUCUGUAUCACCACCAGCUGGACAACAGUACUAGAAAGUUUCUAGCAGCCUCAGCAGAAUAGGAAGCAUAUCCUCCCCUCAGCACAGCACUACCAGUGGUGGUCCUUUUGGCUGCCACAUUUUAAAACCACCAUGAGGUUCAUCUCCUUCCUGUGCAGAGCAAACACAGCUUUCAAGCUGUGGGGAUGGGGUCAACCCUCGCUGGCAGAUUGGCAGGGUGGGAUUAUGUCAGCUCCCCCCCUCACGUCUUACACUCUUCUCUGGAGGAGGCAGAGGCUUGGCUGAAUUUGGGGACAGGGGUUUCCUGCUGAGAUGUGGCUGAGGAACCUUUGCCAUCUGUGCCAAAGGUUUUCCCUUAGUUGGACAACCUGUCUGAAGGAAGACACAGAAUUGGCUUCCUCCUCAGCUCUGGAAAGAUUUAUUGUUUCUGUGCCACAGAGUGUUGGCACAAAACCCCAACAGGUUUUCAGAUUCAUUCUGCUCUUUAAGCUCACUAUUGUUUGCAAACCUAAAAGGCUUUAUCUCUCCUCUUUAGGGAGCCCCAGACAAGAGAGGCUCACAGCCCAUGGACAGAAUGGCUCUACAGAUGACACAUUCACCCACGAACAUUUUCAGGAGACUGGGGUAAUAAGAGAGAUGUGCCAGGGGACAGGAUGUCACUGUAUCACAGCUUGGUCGUGCUGGAAGACAGUGACUGGUUGGUGCCUGGGACUUUGCCUCUCCCACACAGCAUGUCACUGA